AACGAACGCUGGCGGCAUGCCUAACACAUGCAAGUCGAACGAGACCUUCGGGUCUAGUGGCGCCCGGGUGCGUAACGCGUGGGAACCUGCCCUUAGGUUCGGAAUAACUCCCCGAAAGGGGUGCUAAUACCGGAUAAUGUCUUCGGACCAAAGAUUUUUCGCCUUUGGAUGGGCCCUCGUUUGAUUAGGUAGUUGGUAGAGUAAAAGCCUUCCCAGGCGACGAUCCGGAGCUUGUCCGAGAGGAUGAUCAGCCACACUGGGACUGAGACACGGCCCAGACUCCUCCGCGAUGCAGCAGUGGGGAAUAUUGGACAAUGGGCGAAAGCCUGAUCCAGCAAUGCCGAGUGAGUGAUGAAGGUCUUAGGGUUGUAAAGCUCUUUUACCCGGGAUGAUAAUGACAGUACCGGUAGAAUAAGCGCCGGCUAACUCCGUG
rnacentral:rRNA from 1 species